UCGAUUCUCGAAAGUACGAACAGUAGUUUUGUGAAAAGUGCAUAGUGCAAAUUCUCCGUGAAAAAUUGUGAUAAUCAAGAAUAACUUCGAAGCCGAAUACUGUAAAAUGUACGACGGAAGCGGCGAACGAACGAGGUCGCAACGAGAAACGCCUCGUCUCACCCUCCUUUCGCCUCUCCUAGUCUUUUCGACGGUGAUGUUCCGGGGUAGGUUGGGCCCCGCUGCUUCGAAGAAUGCGACGCGCAUCAGGAACCGCAGCCAAUUUCAAUAUUUGAGGAAACUCGGCUGACAGGAGUUCCGCAAAAUUUGCAGACGAUCUUCGUGGGAGGCUGUGCACCGAAGACAAACAGCCAUACACAAGAAUAACAUCUUUCGCGUUUCGCUAAUCACAACACUUGGUGCUGCCUGUACACAGACGUAGAGACGACGAUGGAAAAACAUAGCGCGCUCGUCGUUCGAGCCGAUGGAAAAAGCACCGCUUCUAUCGGCGGGUUAAUGAAGUGGCCUACGCGCGAGAAUUAUUUUUGUUCAAAACAUACGAACGUAAUUACAAAUAAAAAUCCAUACUAUUUUAAUUCUCAUCUAUUCUUCCCUUUCUUUUCUUUUUUUUUUUCUUUUUUUUUUCCUCUUUGAUAAUUGGAAUUGAAUAGUUUACGGUUAAUCCCAUAUAUAUACAAUUAUAAUUUUCGUAAUACUAUUACUAUUUUAAUACAGCGAUUUGCAAAAUAAAACGACGUUGCGAAUAAUAAAUUUACCAAACACGAGUACCACAGUCCUACAGGGAUUCUGUAAUAUCUUAACAAAUAGACAGACAAAUCAUCCAUCGGACAGUUUUCUUCGUGUACAUUUUCUUUUAUUAAAGUCUCAAGAAUAUACGUAUACAUAUGAUUAUGUAUUAAAAAUCGAUCCGAAAAUGUGUGACACUGAACUAUCUGAUAAUCAUCCUCUUUGUGUAUGUAUAACGCUUUGUGUAUUUUCUAACUCGACGUAUAAAACCGUGACAAUAAUUUAGCCACAGGUGAAGUAUGUACGUAUAGAGGUGAAAAAAUCGUGAGGGUUCUGUUUAGUACCUUUAACGGAAAAUUUGACGCGCUAUUAUUAUCAGGCUAGGGUUAUUCUUAACGAUUACGGACAGCGGUUAUUCUUAGCUUAAGUGUUAGGGGCAUCCAGUAAAAAGGUCACUUUUAAUGCGAAAAUUACCCUCCGAUCGGUUGUCCGAUUAAAAAAUACAAUGGAAACCUGAGCGUUCGGCACGAUCUUAAUGGCACUUCGAGAAUUAUUUGAUCGAGUGAUUACGGAUGCGCAGUGCGUUUCGAUCAUGCACACGGUGUAUAAUACAGGCCACGAUAUAGCCAGGCUGUAAAUUAAUUCUUCGUCUGCAGUGUCCUUGAAACUGAAAGCGUUUUCUGUACAGAGAAAUUAGGGGUGAGAAAAAACGGGUGAAAAAUCCGUUUCCGACGAUUAACAUCGCGUCUAAACUUUCCCGCGGUAAGAGUUACAUGUUAGGAAUUACGUGGAAAUUUAUCGAGACUUAGAUAUCGAAGAAACAUUGAAUUCACUAUGUAUAUUUUAUUUUCGAAUUCCACAUAGUGAAACAGAAAAUGAUCGAUGCUAUUUCAUUUACAGAUCGAGAAGCUACAAAUAUGUUAACCAUUGUUAAAGCAAAUUGAAAAAUAAAAGACGGAUCGUAAUAUAAAUAUAAAUUUGUAUUUUGAUGCGUUACAUGAAGGAUGACGAUAUUAAAAAUGUCCUUGUGCACACUUAACCGAGCUUUUAGAUUCUUAUACGCAUAGCUGUAUUUUUCUGUCAACUUCAUUGUACUGACACUCGAAACACGAUCAUUAUAACUUUGCUAUAUCAUGGCUCGUACUAUCUGAUUAUACAUCUGAUGUAAACAUCGUGAUUACGUUGAUUCGUGCGAUCGUUAAGUACUCUAUUUAGGUGUACGUGAAUUACACUUACUAUAUAUAUAUAUAUAUUUUUGUCUUUUUACUAUGUAUAAAGUAAUUAGCAAAUGAGAUAGACCUGGUUUUUAGAAACUUUUCCGUUAUAUAAAUUAGAUUCGAAAUUAUCGUUAUAAGUUACAAUGAUGGCCGCGUGCCAUUGAAACUUAUUCCAUGGGAAUGAACAUCUAAACAUAGAACAGUAAUAAUAGUAAAAUAUCGAUAUAAUAAUUGAAACAUCUUGAAUAAAAUGACUUGUAUCUACGUAACUCUCGCUAUCGCAGGAAAAAGAUGAUUUUUAAAUGAAAAUGCAAAAUCCAAAAUUUCGUCCAAAUUUGAUAAAAGUAUAAUGUAAAAUUUACAGAUACGAUUUGUUACAAUUUCACGGACAUUUACCAGGUCUAUCUCUACUUGAAUUACCCUACCACCCCCUGUGAUCUAUUUCUUCCCUUCUUUUUCUCGAUUCGUUCGUUGGAACUUUUUCUAUACUCAUUAACCCUUUCGCUUCGGGUGCCGCUUAUAGGCGGCGCCGGCCAGAUGACCUGUGGGUACGGGUGCCGCUUAUAGGCGGCGACCACGCGACGAUCGGCACCCCAUAUAUCACGAUAUGAGUGUAAAGAUUGCAAUGUUGGCUUACGUAUAGAUCCUUCAUUAUGUUUCAAAAUAUAUCAUUCAGAAUGAUGUUGCUAAUCUUUACAUAUUAAUGUAUCAACUAAUUUACUCUUCGUAAUUAAUUAUAUUAAACAUUUUAUCGUAAAUAUGUAAAUACGUAAUAUAUUAGCUGUAAUUUUCUAAGCCUUUUCAUAUUAAAGAUGUAAAUUAUACUUAUCAUAUUGGAGCAAAGAUCGUUUUAUUGUUGUUUUAUUCAGCACAGUUGUUAUUUAAGACUUAGGAAAGCAUUUAUACAACAAUCACGUCACUGUGCGUAUUUGCGGCGCGUGCCUCCGUACAGGGAGAACACUUAGGCGGACUGGACUGCCGAAGCGAAAGGGCUAACAAUGGGACAAGCAUCGUGCUACGUAAAUUCCAAAUGAAAGUUGCUUAAAAAUUAAAUAACAAAACUUUCAGAUAGUUUAUAUAUACCUAUACAUAAAUAUACAGGCUGACCCACGAAUUGGUCGCCACGAUUUUUCAAACACUACCGAUGAGCUGACAAGAAAAUCGAUCAGCUUUCAAUCGGCUUCAAAGUUCCUUUGAUCGCGGUUUGUAGCCGAUUGAAAGCUGAUCGACAUUCGUUCGAAACAUUUUUGCGUCAUAUUACUGGAAAUGGUGGAAAUAUCGUGCACCACCCUGUAUAUAUUUUGUAUGAGAAAUAUUUGCAUUGUUUUAAUGAUAUUUCGAAUUACAGAGAGCCUCAAUCGUGUCGAAUCGUGGAGCAUAUUUUUCUAUAAAUAUAUACGUUUGAAAUAUCCUCGAAACGAGCGCGACAAUAGACGCAAUGCUUGGCGAACGAAUUCCUAAAAAUGGAAUGAAAAUUACUGCAUAAAAAAAAUAACGGAAAAGAAAAUAAUAAUAAACGAUACUCUGAAAUUACCGAGUGAAUACGAUAGAAGAGAGUAGAAUAGCGUUUGCCAAAAAAAAAAAGAAAAAAAAUUGUUCAUCGAGAAGGUGCAAUUGAAAUGGGAAUUUCGUCCGGAAAAAACAGCCAUCGAUUACCGUGAAUCGAAUUCGUGCGAAUUUGAAUAAAAGAUCGACUGCGAAUUCCCGCCAUUUUAAUCUGAUCAAAUUUCGCGUAUCGAUAAGUUUGCGCAAACUAAAUCGGUAACAAUUCAUGCAAUACACACACGCAGAGAAAGAAAAUAAAAGAUAUUGAUCACUCGUGUUGCUAUUGGUUAAUGCUAGAUACAUUCAUAAUGAUCAAUUGUUUCCCAUUCAAACAUCACACGCCAUCGUUAAAUACGAAUCGGCUUACGACAUUGCAGAUUGUUCGACGAUUCGUCAAAUCGCACGGAUUUCUGUCUUACGAAUCUAACUGUAAGAACUAUAGUCUUUACAUGUUCCGAUCGAAUUGGUAAAUCUAUUUACGAAAAUAGAACGCGCUAUUGCAAGUUCGAGCGAUCCGAGUUCAAUGUCUUAGACACGGAGGACCAUAUACGCUGUCCACUCGAGAAGAUACUAAAAGUAAUAAUCGAUGAUACAAUUUAUUUACAAUAUUGUGUCGCACAAAUGGGAAUUAAAAUGCUUAAAACAAUUAGAAAAUCGCUUACGCCUGUAAUCUAACAGAAAGGACCGGAUAGAUGAUAUGAAAAAAUUAGAUAUUUGUCAUCGAAUUCCUGACUCGUUAUGCGAAAUUACGAAACAAAUUGCGAUAGAUACAUUCUUGAUAAAAAAAAGAAGCGAAUCGAAUAAUUCUAUAUCGCAUUUUAAUCCGAUCUUUCGUUUAUCAGAUACGAAUGAUCAAAAUUUCGGAGUGUAACGCGAGAAUAUGCACGUUCUCUCAUUCAACUUCGAUCAUACUUGCCUCGAAAACGAAAAUUCAAACUGAAAAAUGAUAAAGGACACUUCGAUUGUUCCUUUUUGUAUCAGAAAUGAGUCGACCGUAAAAAUGAUUGAAAGAUGGAUUAAUUUUCUAAUUAUUUUGAGCACUGAAAUUGUUCAAUUGUCACGGUUGGCUCAUCGCAAACGACAGAUUCUUUCAUUUCUAUAUAUAUACGAUAUCGAAAAAUAGAAAGUAAGUUUCACGAAAUAUCGAUGAAUGCUCGGUGAUGAAAGUGAUAUCACUUCGUUUAUGAAAAUACUGCUUUUACGACGAGCUUCGGCCCUUAAACUAUUUUACGUGCAUAGUAUGUGUAUAUAUGUGUGUUAUAAUAUAUUUGUUUCAUGGGAAAUAGAUAAGACGAGAGACAGAAUCUCCGUAGAUCGUAAUAUAAGUCGUUAAUUGAUUAAUUUGUAGCUAUUAACUGCCGUGUACAAGAAGAACGCUAAUUUCUAAGUAGACAGAGAUUCAAUCGCAGAAAUCGUUCGUUUAAUCCCUUUGCCGAGACAAUAGGAAAUCACGGAGGAGAAAUUAAAGGGGAAAAGUAGAAAUUUUGUUUCGCCCAUUAAAAUCAAUUUAUAUGUACCACGACAUUGAAAAAAAAAUAUACAGGACAAUUAAAAUCACAGCAAAGAGAUUAAUCGUUACGCGUCACUAUGUACAAUGCUGUAUCUACAUUGUUCAUAAAAAAAUAUAUAUUUCCGCUAUUACAAACUACCAAUUCUCGAACGAGGCUUUCCCGAAAAUUGCAGAAUACCUGUACAAAAAUUGAUAACACGAUCUUUAAUAACGUCCAUACACGAUGUGGAAAUUCAACGAGAGAACAUUGCGCUCUCUUGGCUUUCUGCAAUCGAGAUAAUUUUGGCGAAACAUCGACAAAAGCGAGAAAAAGACCAGCUUCGACAAAUAACAAUGCGCGAAGAAUAAUUAACAUAAUAAUACUAGACAUUCAACUUUCCCGGAAAAUUGAUAAAACUUCAUCGAAUGGAGGGAUCGAUGUUCGAAGAAUAUAAUAAAAAUUCAUUUUCAAACCUACGUUUCUCACAGAACAACCAACUGUUCUAGUCCCAGCUACCAUUCUGGAUCAUCGAGAAACUCUUUAGGAGGGAAAAUUCCAAAAAAUACUCGGUGCACCGUUGAUUCGACUCGAAACGGGAAAGAAAUCAACGUAUUAACCCGAUUACGUCAACUUCGUUCUUAGGACAAACACCAGCGUCGCUGAUCUUCGAUCCAUGAACAGAACACGCAAGCUUAUCGAUCAGCAUCCUCCAUUGCGAAGGCUAAUCAGCGAAAAAUAUAACUCUGCGAACGAUCGCGCGAUAGUUUCAUCCCUCGCGAUUCUGAAAUCGAUGCGUUUCGAUGCAAUCGACAAUUUCAGAAAGAAAUUGAGAAUUUUUCUCCAAGUGACUGAAACUAUGAAACACUUGGAAAUUUGGAAAUUGGAAUAUUUGCGUGCAAAAGAGAAAUUUUUUUAAGGCAUCCAAUACUUUGAUAUUAUGCGAUAUCGCUUUUACCGAUUUUAAUUAAAAUAGAAUUCUGCUCUUAAUUAGAAUUUAUUAAUCUAACAAUAUGACUUUGAUUUCUAUUUUAUCUUAUUUUUCGUUCCCGAUCUGGGAAUAAAUCGCGAGGGAUAAGAGUGCGCGUUUUUUCAGCGAAAACUCAUUCAAAUCGUUUAACAAAUCUAGCAAACUUUCAGGCACGUUCGACGGUAUAAUAAAAAUCUCGAGGAACCGUCUUCUAAAAAAAAUUGGGACGAAUGAACGAUCACAGGUAAGGUUGCGAAUCAGUUUUAUCAAACCUCGUUACUAACUCUCGAAUAAUCGAGAGAUUAUCCUCGCGUAACCUUAAAGCGUUAAUCUCCGAUGAAAUUUAUGACACGAGAAAAGUAGAAAAAGAGUGUAAGAUUAUAAAUAAAUCGAGAUUCUCCGAGGGUUGAAACAAUGAGGUUCCCUCGAUUUCUUUUCCCAACGCUAACUGUAUGUACAAUAUUGCUUAAACCAUAAAAAAGAAAAAGUUAUUAAGCUUUGUAGAAUUGCAGAAAUUGUCGUCUUCUUCGUUUCAUUGCAAUCCACGUUCUUCACAGUAAUCAACGCAAAAGUUUGUCAUUUUAUGACGUUCAAACAAACAGGCAAUUGUAGAAAUCGUUUGAUCGAACGCUUGUCACACACUAUGUUUCUUAUUAUUGAAAGAAAAUUUCGUCAAGAUCUUUCAAACUCGAGUGAUAUUAAUAAAACAAACAAAUUGAUUUAAAAGAAUUGAUAAGCAUUUGUUUUCGAUUAUCAAACAACUUCAAACUUAUUCUAAAAUAUUUGUUACUUGUUUCAAAAUCUUUUUUUUUAACUAUGGCCUAAGGUGACACAGAUAGAGAGCUUGAUACUUUACUUGAUAAAACUUUGACAAUUUUUGGAAGAGUUAAUCUAAUGUCGUGGACUUAACAAUUUCGAUUCUGUCAUUCAUUACGCUCCAAUCGAAGCGUUCACAUUCGUCAAAUUCGUGAACACUUUCACACAAUCGUUCAAUCACAUCUGCAAUACUCAAAAAAUUCAAUUCCAGAGAUUAUCAAGGAGUCUAAAUACUCUGUUGCCAGUUUCUUCAAUCUCCGAUCGCCAUAAACGUUCGCAAACUCUUCCAAACCAUUCUAACGCUUCAAGUAUCCUCGUUUCCUACACCUUAAUGUACUUAAUCUCCAGUACUCGAAGGAUCAUCGAAAAAUCCAAAUAGUCUAAUACUACUUUUUUAAAUCUCAAAUUUCUACAAACCUUUCCAAAUCUUUGCAAAACUAUCGUUUCCCCUGGCAUCCUCCUAUUUGUCAAAUUUUAACUUGAAAUUUCCAGUACUUCAAAGAUUAUCGACAUUUCAAACACGCUACUACUAAUUAUCAUAAACCUUCACAAACAUCUCCACUCUCCACGCGCCAAAUCUUUCUACUCUUGAGAGUUUCGUCUAGAAUUUCCAAUACUCCAUCCAAGAUCAUCAACGAGUUCAUAUACGAAAUACUCUGACACACUUCCUUCCAAUCCCUACUCAUCGCAAACCUUUUCAAACCACUUCAGAUUAUCUCAUACCGUGCAAACACAUCAAAUCACCCUGUUUCUUCGCUUAAACUCUAAUCGGAAAUUUCGAAUAUUCCCAAAAAUUAUG